GCUGAAAACCUCCAACAAAAAGGACCAGAUGUGAUGAACAGGUUGCUGCACACGCCUGCAUCUCAAACCCCAUUGAGGAAACCGUAACACAACACAGUGAGGCACAUCAUCACACAGGCAAGCAUGAAGAGGAACUGAAGACUCUAAAGGAGAAACUAGCAGAAUAGAAACAGGAAAAUCUGAAGAUUGAACUCUAAAAGAACUUCAAAAUGCUGCAAGAAAUACAAGAUUUAGUAUUUACAUUUCACAUAAUUUACAGAGUGUCAGCGCACUCCGUACUCCUGGGUAGACUACAUGUAUGACUUAGUCAACUGUCACAGAGAUGUGAUUUAACAUGCCUGCUAACUUUAAACAGGACUUCCCAAAUACAUUUGCAAUACUGGACUGUACAGAACCGAAGAUAGAGAGGCCCAGCUUAUUACUGCUAAAGAGUCAGACAUAUUAUACAUAGAAGUCUACCAACACACUUAAGUCUCUAGUUGCCUGUGAUCCAUGUGGUGCAGUUCUGUUUGUGUCUGCCCUCUUCACUGGAUCAAUCUCAGACAAAGAGAUCUUUAAUCAGUAUAAUAUAGAGCUACUGCAGGGCUGUACUCAGUGUGGCUACUUUAAAGUUGGAGAUGGAUUAAUGACUGAAAAGGGUUUUCUGAUUGAGAAAUAAGUGGACAAAAUUGGUCUCAAACUGAACAGUCCACAUUUUGCCAGAUCCAACCGUCAGAUGCCACAUGCAGAUGUUGAGAUGACCAAAAAAAUCACAAAGCACAGAGUUCAUGUGGAAAGAGGAUUUGCCAAAAUUAAAAAAAAGUUAAGAUUGUUUCUGGUAGAAAUCCAACAUCCCGUCUUGGAAACAUAAAUCAGAUAUGGUAGGUGGUUAGCGUGCUGUCCAACUUCCAACCACACAUUAUCAAAGGCAGGUGAUCUAAGUGCUCUACAUUCAAAAUGAGGGGAUUUCCCUCAAUAUAUUUCUGAGGUUUGAAUAAAGGGUGAUGGUGGGUGAUGUGAGAUAAACGGUUAAUCAAAAUACAGACUUCCAGCAACUUCAAACUGUCCAUUAAAUCCUUUAUGUGAAUUUUGAGAUAUACUUGCCAUGUUUAGGUUGCAUUUUAAACUACCUUUUGACUGUAAUUGAAAUACUUAAUGUCCUAUGUCAGGUUUAAUCUAUUCAUUUACCUGGUGGCUCAAACCACUUCCAAGGGGGCACUGUGGGGGAAAUAUUAAUGUUCCCCAAGUCAUUCUCUUGUCAUCUUCUAUCCUGGGAGCAGUAGUCAUGACCUGUCUCUUUCAGAGCAGUUCAUCUUUCUGCCUACUGAGGUUGGCUGGGAUAAGCAGCUGUCUUGGUAAGGCUGGCUGUGUCCUAUGGCAACCAAGGUCGGGUGGAGAUAUGCUGUGCUUUGUGCAGACGGUUAGACUGGUCUUCUUGUAGAAUGGAUAGCAUGUGACCUGUGUACAGACUACGUUACUUCAGAUAACUUUUAGUCAGCAUAAUGUCUUGUUUAUAGUUCAAUACCCAAUAGAGACAUAGAUGAGUGAAGAAUAACCUUAUUUGGACAGGUAGUAAGGGUAAGGAUUUGGUGAAUAGUUUAAAUAACUCUUGCCCAGAAGUAGACCACAGAAUUGAGUGGCAUUGCACAGUCUUUUCACUUGUAUUGUAACUCUGUUCUUCUCGAUUUAGCUUCAAUAAAUGUUCCUGCUUAAGACA